CACGUAGGGACCGAGCGUUGUCCGGAUUUAUUGGGCGUAAAGAGCUCGUAGGCGGUUCAGCAAGUCGGGUGUGAAAACUCUGGGCUCAACCCAGAGACGCCACCCGAUACUGCUGUGACUAGAGUCCGGUAGGGGAGUGGGGAAUUCCUGGUGUAGCGGUGAAAUGCGCAGAUAUCAGGAGGAACACCGGUGGCGAAGGCGCCACUCUGGGCCGGCACUGACGCUGAGGAGCGAAAGCGUGGGUAGCAAACAGG
rnacentral:rRNA from 1 species